UAAAAAAUUUUCGUUGUUGCUGAAAUAUUAGAACAGAUAGUUCCCAUAACUAAUACAAUUUAAGUAAAAUUACUCAAAAUGUCCAAGACAUGCUGUUACGCAUGCGCACUGGGCGACAAUUGCCCCUCCCCCACGUCGCAGAAGCACAACGGCUGAGGAUUCAACGUGUGUUUGCAGAGGAUCUUGUUCGGUAAAAUCAAGAAUACCAGUUGAUGACUGCUGUGCAGUGGAAAUAUCGAUCAUCUUGCUUGAUAAAACUCAGUAUAUCAUCAGGAGCAACAGGCCACAUUUUCAGCUAAAAAUCUUCUUUGCUGUUCUGCUGAAGAAAAAUACUCAUCAACAUCUUGGGUGGCAUAAGGAUUUUUGCAGGAUUCAGUCGCAUAUCUCGGAUCUGAGUUCUGCGCAGCAUUGGACACAGACUCUGCACUUUUGACAUUUUCUAGAAAAAAGGAUUUUAAAUUUCACAUCAAGUUCAUUAAAAGUCAUCUGAUGUUUGCACUGCAGUACUUCAGGGCCUUUCAGUCAUCCUGGAGGAUGACCCACAGGAAUUUUACAGGAUGUGUUUCGAUGUGGAUGCAGACUUCAGUCAAGCAGUUGUAGACCUGCUCACAGUUCUACCAGAGGACAUGCCCUCAUUGUGGAUGCAAUAAAGGCAAUCAUGGAGGGAAGAAUUGUCAUGGAUGGGUUUUACAGGCCUGUAUUUUAUUUUUGCUGUUCUGUUUGCAUGCCAUUCUGAAAAUGCUGUAUUUUUUUAAGUAUUCCAGUAGGUCCAAAUAAUGUUAUGACAACAAAGUGCUGUUUAGUUAAGAAGUCUGUAAAGAGUAUU